CCUUUGAGUAUGCAAAUCCUUUUUGAUAUGGGGUGGAGCGGUGGUGCAGUUGUUUUGCAGGCUCCGUUAGGAUCCUGGCGGCCGGAGUCCCGAUUCCCAAACAUGAACUGGCGGCCGUCCAGGAAUAACAACGCCCCAGCAGAACCUACAACCGUGUGGGGCGGUUGGGAGAGGAGGAGGUACGAAGCGAUCGUCCCCGCCGCGUCUACCCCACUGCCGCCCAUCGCGCCGAGACUUCGAGAGAAAGUCACGCACAACAGCUUACGUCAGUGCAUCACCUGCAAUGCAGUGAGCGCUCGAUGCGGCAACAACGCAAGCACGGGGCCUCGCGCGCAAUUCAUUCAGACGCCGACCGCAAGCAGACCUCCAGCGCCCUUGCGAAGCCAACUCGGAAUCCACUCGACAGCAGGGGCGGCCACCGUGAACGUGAAACGCGCAGGGCGCUACGUUCUGAUGCAGAGCCGCGAGGGGAACUCCCAUCCCCGAGGAUACACACAUUUAUUAAACCCGUCUCUGUGAGUAUUUGGCCAGGGCAUUUCUUCCAGCGGUCUAAGCGUUUUCCCACAGGCAUCCACUCGUUUUGAAGUUGCGCAAAAUCUAAAAUAUUUUCCUGUCAUGCGAAAUAGCAAAAGUCGAUAAUAAUAAUGAUGCCUCUAUUUAGUCAGAUAUAUGGCCCAGUCAGUGUAGCAGCAGCCGGUGAAACUGGCCGUGCUGCGUUUCCGCUGCCCCUCACCCAUGCAUCCUCUCGGCCUCCCGCUGAGGCUGCCUCACUUCGUUGAGUGCCAACAACUUUCGUCCCAAAAAAACACUAAGCACUGUCACAGGAAUGUGGAAUUUUCACAUCUGGCUCAUUGGUGGUGCCGUGCGUUUGGGGCAGACAUUUCCAGGCGUGCCAAAUCGGAACGCGUGGGAAGCACUAAACUAAAUUAAAGACGAAAGUGUUUUUUUCUAUUUUACCAGAGAAGGCCCACUCAGCGAUAUAGCCUCUUUUUUCAGAAGCGACCUGCCCAUCACGAAUGAUAGCUUC